ACUGUUAAAUGAAGUCGUUGUUUUUGUUUAACGUCCAGAAAAAAAACAUUCUCGUAGCCUAAAAAUAUUCUGAACGAAAGACACGUGAACUACUUUGAAGAUAUUUUUGGUGAACCUCUGGACUUUGAGUUGGGUAGCCUACCUUGCUGUCUCAGGGAAUUGGAACGACACGAGGAUACUCCUUGGCAGCCAGUCUUUGUAUGGAGUCCACCGUGAUCUACUGUAUAGAGCCCAUUCAAGAUGUAGGAGCCUUUUUUUUCUUCAAACUGUGGGUCCAGUGACUACUAGGGGGUCUCUGCAAACGUUCAAUGAGGACCAUUAGACUUCUUGAGAAGGAUUGGCUCAGGGAAGGAUUGACUGCAACCAUCUCACCCCAACCCCUGGGUGCAUCAGCAUUGGAUAUUAUGGGUUAAACCUCCUGUCUAUUGUUUAGGGUCACUAAUGGUUAAAGAAGUGGACUUGUGUUCAGAUGGAUGAAGAUUCAGUCUCAGUACUAGCAGGGAUUGUACAUGUUGGGAUUGAAUAACCAGCACUCUCAACACACUCUAUACCAGUGGUGGGCAAACUUUUUAGACCUGAGGACCACAUUAAGUUUU